AUGAUGACAAGUCGGCUUGUAUGGAUAUGUGGGUUGAAUAUGGAGAAGGAUGUGAAGAAAGCAUUAUCCAACCAUUCUGUUGAAGCUUUUGAAGAAGCUCUUUGGUUUCACCUUCUGGAUUCGUUCAGAUCAGUAUAUUCUGCUGAAACUGAAUUCAUAUUCAGAAGAGAAGAUAGAAGGAAAACUGAAAGUAUAUUUUUAAGCUCUUCACUUCCUGGAACUACAUGGUGA